AACCCAUAAGACCUUCCAAAUCCUCAGUAAUCUUUUAGCGUCUCUUUCUGCUCUUAUUUUCUUUUCUUUCUUUUUUUUUAAAGGACUAGUGAUAGAGUUUGAGAUGUCUUGAAAAAUUCUUGAAUAUCCUUGAUUUUUUUGAAAAUCACCCAAAAAAUUUGUGUGUCCUUAAAUUUUACAUCUGGUUAUGUUGUAUUUGAUAUAUCAGAAGACCAGGCCUUUUCCUAUUUUGCCAUGGAGACUUGUAUCAAAUAGCGCAGCUCAUAUGUCACAUAUUUCCUUCUUCAGUAACAAAGAACCAAGUAAGUUAGCCGGAAACCGACAUUCUUGAAACAUUCAUUACGGCUUUUGAAAUUUUUUUGGAAUGUCCUUAAAAGCCCUUUGAAAAUUGUGUUGAAGUUCAGGAUACAUUAAGUUCUCAGCUGUCCCAUUUUUAAAAUUGGCCUUCUCACUUUUAAACCUCUUUUCACCCAAAAUUUUUAAAGUUCUUAGUUUCCUCUCGGUAGUUACUCCUGAAAAUUUCAGACAUUGUCAUUGAAUUCAGCAGAUUUCAGUGCUGCCAGUCGCUGUUACUUAAUUUGAGAAACCUACGCGUAUCAUGAGUACAUUUCUUCUUUUUCGUUUCAGGUGAUGCAGCCUCUGCAAACAGUAGGAAGGUAACCAAUGAGCAAGUAGACGAUGGUGUAACGUGGACGUAUGCUAACCUGUCUGCUACAACCCAAGAACGAAUUAAAAGGUUUGAGCAAGAAACCCGUGCUAUGCUACAAAGAGACAGGCUCAGAACGGAAAACGAGAAGGAGAGACUGGAGAGGGAGUGGCAACAAGCUAAACGGGAACUGGAAGCUGAUGAUGCUUUAGAUCGGCUAGCGGAUGAUCCCUCAGCACUACAUGAACUAUCGGAAACAACAUUGUUAAACAAAGAAUCAUCAUCUGAAGAUUUAAGUCCGACAUUAAACAAUAAAGUGUCCAACAUGAAAAGGUUCAAAACAGGAAACGAAGUCUCUACAAUUUCCAAUGGAAAAUCUAGUGGCUCUCUUGACUCUUUGAAAGAAUCUAGUGUUACAAUGGGAAGGACACCCAGUAAUGCUUCCGAUGAAGGAAGUGAUUUAUUCACAAGCCUUACAUCUACUUUUGACAAGAAAUUGAAAUCUUUACUAAAAUCUGAGGAACUUUGUAAUGAUGACGUAGAAGAGCAUGUCAGUACAAUGCACGAUGAGAAAGUAUCAACAAAAUUUCAAGAUCCCAGCCUGCAUAGAUCCUUGGAAAAGCAGUACAAGCAGGUAUCAAAAAGUGAGAAAGAUGUCAAAUUAGACAACAAAGAAAACUGUGAUAAAAUUUUAGAGCACAAAAGAUUGACAAAAGUGAACUCAUUCGAGAAGAAUAACGAAAUCAAAGCAAGCAACAAAGCGAUUGAAGAUAACAAAGUCUUGAGUGAUGCUCUGAAGAAAGAAUUGACAGAUUGUCCCAGCAGCGACAAAAAAGCUCAAAAGUUUCAAUCCCUGAAUAAUGAGCUUUUGAAUUUAUUACAGGAAAAGACCUGUGUUAAACUUCGCCGUUCUGAAAGUUUGAACAAGCGCUCAGAGAAAGUUGACAACACCAGUCUAAAACUUCGUCGCUCCGAGUCUCUGAACAAGUAUGACAAGUGUAAAAACAUUGAGAACAGAAUUUCAAAACUAGAGUUUCUUUCAAAAAAUUGUGAAAAUAAAGCCAACAACUUCAAAAGGUCCGACUCGUUAACAAAAACUGAAAAGACAGAAUCAAACUUGAUGAAGAGGAGGCAACAAGAGCUCUCUAAAAAUCGGUGGUCGCGGGAAAAAGAGAACACGACAAAACUGAAAAGGAAAAACGGUAUCUCGUCGAAUAGGUCUAUCAAACGGCGGCAUACGGUGGGCGGAACAAAAGACUUUGACAAAAUCAACUGGCUGGACAACAAGCAGAAAGAGGCGAUAGAAAAUAACGAAGAGUUGAAGAAAGAAAGGCGAACAAGCUCGCCUGAUCUUAGUUCCUCACGUUUAACAAGUGUUUUAGUGGAAGUUAUUUUAAGACCUCGCAGUCUUGCUGAAUCUAAUUUGGCAUCACGACUCUUUAAUUUACCGUUAGAGUCCCACGUAUGA
rnacentral:lncRNA from 1 species